CCUGAGAGGGUGAUCGGCCACAUUGGGACUGAGACACGGCCCAAACUCCUACGGGAGGCAGCAGUAGGGAAUCUUCGGCAAUGGACGAAAGUCUGACCGAGCAACGCCGCGUGAGUGAAGAAGGUUUUCGGAUCGUAAAACUCUGUUGGUAGAGAAGAACGUUGGUGAGAGUGGAAAGCUCAUCAAGUGACGGUAACUACCCAGAAAGGGACGGCUAACUACGUGCCAGCAGCCGCGGUAAUACGUAGGUCCCGAGCGUUGUCCGGAUUUAUUGGGCGUAAAGCGAGCGCAGGUGGUUUAUUAAGUCUGGUGUAAAAGGCAGUGGCUCAACCAUUGUAUGCA
rnacentral:rRNA from 1 species